rnacentral:rRNA from 1 species
UGCCCUCAUAAUCUAAUUGGGCAGGGAGACCAGAUGGAGCUCAAUUCGGUGUGGGAGUGGGUGACUCGUUCCGCCUCCUCCUCCUCCUCCUUUUUAUUAAUAUGGGCCUUUUCCUGUUUCCUUAGCGCGGUGGCGCCCCUCCUCCUCCUCCUCCGGCAUGCCGCGCCGGCGGGCGGCAGCCUAGACGCGGCCGCUGACCAGGCCGGCGGGCUCCUCCUCCACCGCCACAGCGAGGCAGGGCGAGGGGCGGAAGCUCGCGGGUCUAGGCGGCAGGGCGGCCCAUAGAUGGUGACUUGACACUCUAUUUCACGAAAGUCAACUACGUUCUCCCACACGUGUGUAGAAGUAGAUACCGGAUGAUAACUAACGAGACGUCACUAGUCAAACUUCAGAAGAAAGAAGGAGAACGAUGCUCAAAAGAACGAAGAGACCACCCGAUGUCCUCUCCACCUUCGUCUAUUUCCGUCUGUCCGUCGAGUCGGUAAGAUACAGGUCCCUGAACCUAACAGGACAAGUCUGUGUCUACCGACAACGUCAGGACCUAGCCUCAAAGUCGUCACUGAUAGGACGUUCAUCGUUUUGACUCCCCUCUGGAAACUCGACCUUCUCUCAAAAACAAGUUUGACUAUUACCAAGACAGGACCCGUAACUUGACCUCUCCCCUCUUUUACGCGUGAGACACUUUUUUUUCGACGUCUAUCGAAACUUACAAAGGUGUCUCCUCUCGAGUGACUGGAAACCACUAGAACAAGACUUGUUACUAGAGUCGUUACAGGCGUUACUGAGCGGCAACGAGGAGUGUUCCUUAGUCUACGUGGCCUCGUCGAGUUGUGGAACAGAGAGAGGAUGACCUUUGCCGCACGUUGUCGCUCUGGCAUCACCUGGGUAACGAUAGGAACCUACAAGUUCGGGAAGGGGAGUCUACUUUGUCGAACGAUUCCUAUAACAGUUUCGGUAUUCCUUACUACAACUGGGUCAUCGACAAUUGUCACCCUACCCACCACGGAUGAUGAAGUUCUUGUAAACCCCACUAGUACAACGUUAACAUUUCGGUUGACUACUCCUUGGUAAACGAGGUUUAUUAGGAUUUCCGAAACAUCCCUUCUGGGAACCUGUCGGUCCGGAGUUUUCCAGACAUGCUCAACCACUCUGUCCCAAGUCUCUCCAACGACGAAUGGAGGAACUGGUACCGUUGAAACGUUUACAAGGAGGUUGGUACGACCAGUUCUAGUGUGUGUCACACAAGUUACACUUACGGUGACAACCGACGUUAGUAUUCUACAAGGUGUUGUUUAGUGUCCGACACUCGUUCUAACGUAGUAACGUCGUCAAGUAGGGAGUACUAAAACUACGGUCGCUGGUACCCUGUAGUUCGAAGGGACAUAGACGACACGUGGCCUAGCCGUAAGAACUGUAGUCUUAGAAGUUGUGCCUGUCCGUAAGCCCGUUAGAAGACCAGUCCUUUCAACCAGGACCCAGACUGUUAAAACCACACGUCUGGCUUGAGUAAGGAUAACUAGUACCAGAAACAGACGGGCUCACAGAUCUUCUGGGAAUGAAGCUUACCUAAGUGACCGGUGUUCGUAGGUAGGGAAAGAGACUCCUCCUUGAACUUAUGUAACGUUUUAACCUAGGAAAUUUUCUACGACUCUACGAUGCCUACCUCGAAGGGUACUAGGCGUUCCGUACAGACGCCCACGACCACGACAGUUGUUAUAAAGAGUUCCUUCCACGUCGUAAACCGGAGACGAACAGGCUUUAACCUCUCUACUACUCGUCCGUCAAAUGACCCUCCUUUCUUCUUCUCGGUUCACUCGAACUCGAAGAAACGUACCUCCGUUCCUUCACCCAGCUCCUGUCUCUCGAUAAAGAAGGUCUUCGGCCUCAACUUCUGCUGCUACUACUGAAGUGGGUCAAGAGAGAACUGCCGCUCCUACUAAGUCUACGUAAACUUAGUGGGAGUAAGUCGUCCAAACCAGGGUACUUCCGUUCGGUGUCCUUAGGUGACAGUUUCGAUCGGCUCACACUACUCCUCCUCCUACUACUCUUCCUCUACCAGUUCCUACUGAGGCUGGGGAACUUGCCAUACAAAGGAUUCGACCAGGGAGGGCAGAGUUUCGACAGGCGCAACGACUUCCCCAAACCAAAGGUACCCUUUCGAUUCGGGAUGGUGCCUCCGUAAGGCUUCUGCUUCUCGUUCCACCGACGAUUUUGAUUGAUAUCACCGCUUCCAUCAUACAUAGUCAGACCUUCGUCCUCGCGCUUACUCUACGAGGGAGGGUCGCGGUCAAAACACUUCGACAGCCUGUACCCGAGGCUCCUCACCUGACGCAAGGAGCUGUUCAAGGUCCUCGAGGAGGGCUCGCGGAAGGUCCGUGCCUUCGUGCGCCGACCGCGGCCGGGCGCGGGCGACGUCUCCGACCCUUGAAGCACGGUCAAAACUUCCAUCGUCAAGCAUGGGUUUCCAUUACAUCUACGUUGGGUCCACACGUCCACAAAAGAAGCGCCGUCGGCCUUCGUCGGGAUACGAUACGCGGACAUCCACACACAAACCUGAUGCCUAGCACCUCUCCUCUUCUAUCUCCACCAAGCUAUUUUUAUUUCUGGCAGGGGAACUGUACGCUAGAAGGGCGUCUCACUACACAGAAGCACAGACACGUAUCGAAAUCAAAAACUGUAUACCUUACCAAACAAGAAAGAAAGCAGACAUAUAUAUGCUUCAUGAGGAGGAUGGAGCGUUGCGGCCCGAGGUAGUGCCGACCACCACGGGCCGCCACCAGCACAACUCACAACAGCCGCGGCGGCGACAAAGCCGAAACGGUGACAUGGUAAAGGCUCUGCGAAUGGUAUUAUUAUUAUAUCAUAAUACUUAUACGUGGACCUACAACGAUGCGUACACGUGUAUAUAACAGUGG